rnacentral:rRNA from 1 species
UUGUUGGUGAGGUAAAAGCUCACCAAGGCUUCGAUCAGUAGCUGGUCUGAGAGGACGACCAGCCACACUGGGACUGAGACACGGCCCAGACUCCUACGGGAGGCAGCAGUGGGGAAUUUUGGACAAUGGGGGCAACCCUGAUCCAGCCAUGCCGCGUGAGUGAAGAAGGCCUUCGGGUUGUAAAGCUCUUUCAGCCGGAACGAAACGGUCACGGCUAAUACCUGUGACUACUGACGGUACCGGAAGAAGAAGCACCGGCUAACUACGUGCCAGCAGCCGCGGUAAUACGUAGGGUGCGAGCGUUAAUCGGAAUUACUGGGCGUAAAGCGUGCGCAGGCGGUUUUGUAAGUCAGAUGUGAAAUCCCCGGGCUUAACCUGGGAACUGCGUUUGAAACUGCAAGGCUAGAGUGUGGCAGAGGGGGGUGGAAUUCCGCGUGUAGCAGUGAAAUGCGUAGAGAUGUGGAGGAACAUCGAUGGCGAAGGCAGCCCCCUGGGUCAACACUGACGCUCAGGCACGAAAGCAUGGGGAGCAAACAGGAUUAGAUACCCUGGUAGUCCAUGCCCUAAACGAUGUCAACUAGUUGUCGGGUCUUAACGGGCUUGGUAACGUAGCUAACGCGUGAAGUUGACCGCCUGGGGAGUACGAUCGCAAGAUUAAAACUCAAAGGAAUUGACGGGGACCCGCACAAGCGGUGGAUUAUGUGGAUUAAUUCGAUGCAACGCGAAAAACCUUACCUACCCUUGACAUGUAUUGAAACCCACAGAGAUGUGGGUGUGCCCGAAAGGGAACGAUAACACAGGUGCUGCAUGGCUGUCGUCAGCUCGUGUCGUGAGAUGUUGGGUUAAGUCCCGCAACGAGCGCAACCCUUGUCAUUAAUUGCCAUCAUUUAGUUGGGCACUUUAAUGAGACUGCCGG